GAAGUGAGAAUUUAAACAAGGUGAGACAGGUUUUUAAAAGCAACUUUCAGGGUAUAUCACUGUACGGUCUGAUCUAUCUCCAGUAUUUUCCCUCUUAGAUUUUAAGGUCCUUAAGGGAUUGCAUCAUGUCUGCAGUGCUCCCUGCUAUGUCUCCAGCCAACUGCUAGCACAAGGUUCUGGCUCUGUCACCCAGGCUGGAGUUCAGUGGUGCGAACUUCGCUCACUGCAUCCUCGACCUCCUGGGCUCAAGUGAUGCUCCCACCUCAGCCUACCAAGUAGCUAGGACUACAGCUUGGGAAAGUUCCUAGACAUCAGGAAAUCAGCAUGUUCUCAAGCAAAUACACUUGAUAGACAUUCAUCUCAGCAGGAUAAAUAUCUACAGGAGAAAAUCAUGAAGCUACCAGAAUGUGGCCAAAGGGAAA
ensembl:lncRNA novel transcript